UCGCUUUGGCAGCGCGUAUACCAAAAUCGGAACGAUAUGGGGAAGAACAGCACAGCCCUUCCGUAAGGAGGACACGCACGUUCGGAAGCAUGACAGCCAGAA
rnacentral:snRNA from 1 species